AUUGAACGCUGGCGGUGUGCCUAACACAUGCAAGUCGAACGGUAACAGAGAGAAGCUUGCUUCUUUGCUGACGAGUGGCGGACGGGUGAGUAACGCGUGGGAAUCUACCUUAUAGUUGGGGAUAGCCCGGAGAAAUCCGGAUUAAUACCGAAUACGAUCUACGGAUGAAAAGGUGCCUCUUCCUGAAAGCACUUGCUAUGAGAUGAGCCCGCGUUAGAUUAGUUUGUUGGUGGGGUAAAGGCCUACCAAGACUACGAUCUAUAGCUGAUUUGAGAGGAUGAUCAGCCACAUUGGGACUGAGACACGGCCCAG
rnacentral:rRNA from 1 species